UUCUCUUUGAGUGUGUAGAGAAGUUAUGGAGUUCUUCCUAAGGUCAACGGCUUACAAGUUGUGGAGUAGGUUAUUUUCUUCUGAAAAUGGUGAUAUGGUUGAUGUUGUUGUCCCAUUCAUUGGCGAAUAUAUAACUGAUGGAACUUUAGCAACUUUUCUAAAGAUUCAUUGCCAAAGAAGGUGAGAUAAUGGCUCUUGGGAUGAAAGUUGUUAUCUCUAAGUCUACUCCUAAUGACACUCAUGUACCGCCAUCAGAAGAGAUAGUCGGUAAGGAUACUUCACCUGCUGUUCCUGUCGAGAAGAACAAAGAUACACAAGUGUCUAAAGUGGAAGCUCUAGUAAAAAAGAAGUCAACUAAUUUAUAGCGUUGUGUGAUUGAUAUAUAUUCUACUGAUUUGUAUGGAUUGAAAGUAUAAUUGCUGUUAUAUAUGUA